GUUUUUGUAGCUUAUUACUAAAGCAAAGCACUGAAAAUGCUUAGAUGGAUAAUUUUAUCCCGAAAACA
rnacentral:tRNA from 1 species